UACAGAGGGUGCAAGCGUUGUUCGGAAUUAUUGGGCGUAAAGAGCUCGUAGGCGGUUUGUCGCGUCUGCUGUGAAAACUCGGGGCUUAACCCCGGGCCCGCAGUGGGUACGGGCAGACUAGAGUGCGGUAGGGGAGACUGGAAUUCCUGGUGUAGCGGUGAAAUGCGCAGAUAUCAGGAGGAACACCGGUGGCGAAGGCGGGUCUCUGGGCCGUAACUGACGCUGAGGAGCGAAAGCGUGGGGAGCGAACAGG
rnacentral:rRNA from 1 species